GGGGUAUAGCUCAGCUGGGAGAGUGCUUGACUGGCAGUCAAGAGGUCACGGGUUCGAGCCCCGUUAUCUCC
rnacentral:tRNA from 2 species